AAUAUGGGUCAAGGUGUGAAAGCGUGACCUAGUCAUGCCUCGUGUUUUAAGUAGGUCUUCGGUUAGUAAAGCAUUUCAUGGUGGGAGGUGGGGCAGUAAGUAAAUACGUUGCUGUUCUGUCGUUACCGACAGAAUAUGCACAGGAUAACUCCGUGCCAGCAGCCGCGGUAAUACGACUGGUGCAAGCGUUCAUCGGAAUUACUGGCCGUAAAGCGCGCGUAGGUGGUUUGUUAAGUUGGAAGUGAGAGCCCCGGGCUCAACCUGGGAACUGCUUUCAAAACUGGCAAGCUAGAGUAUGGCAGAGGGUGGUGGAAUUUCCUGUGUAGCGGUGAAAUGCGUAGAUCUAGGAAGGAACACCAGUGGCGAAGGCGACCACCUGGGCUAAUACUGACACUGCGGUGCGAAAGCGUGGGGAGCAAA
rnacentral:rRNA from 1 species